rnacentral:rRNA from 1 species
UUCCACGUUUUCCGCGCCGUAGCUAACGCAUUAAGUGCCCCGCCUGGGGAGUACGGCCGCAAGGCUAAAACUCAAAGGAAUUGACGGGGGCCCGCACAAGCGGCGGAGCAUGCGGAUUAAUUCGAUGCAACGCGAAGAACCUUACCAAGGCUUGACAUGAACCGGAAAGACCUGGAAACAGGUGCCCCGCUUGCGGUCGGUUUACAGGUGGUGCAUGGUUGUCGUCAGCUCGUGUCGUGAGAUGUUGGGUUAAGUCCCGCAACGAGCGCAACCCUCGUUCUAUGUUGCCAGCACGUGAUGGUGGGGACUCAUAGGAGACUGCCGGGGUCAACUC